rnacentral:rRNA from 1 species
AUACAUGCAAGUCGAACGAACUUUCUUACACCGAAUGCUUGCAUUCACCGUAAGAAGUUGAGUGGCGGACGGGUGAGUAACACGUGGGUAACCUGCCUAAAAGAGGGGGAUAACACUUGGAAACAGGUGCUAAUACCGUAUAUCUCCAAGGAUCGCAUGAUUCUUAGAUGAAAGAUGGUUCUGCAAUCGCUUUUAGAUGGACCCGCGGCGUAUUAACUAGUUGGUGGGGUAACGGCCUACCAAGGUGAUGAUACGUAGCCGAACUGAGAGGUUGAUCGGCCACAUUGGGACUGAGACACGGCCCAAACUCCUACGGGAGGCAGCAGUAGGGAAUCUUCCACAAUGGACGCAAGUCUGAUGGAGCAACGCCGCGUGAGUGAAGAAGGUCUUCGGAUCGUAAAACUCUGUUGUUAGAGAAGAACACGAGUGAGAGUAACUGUUCAUUCGAUGACGGUAUCUAACCAGCAAGUCACGGCUAACUACGUGCCAGCAGCCGCGGUAAUACGUAGGUGGCAAGCGUUGUCCGGAUUUAUUGGGCGUAAAGGGAACGCAGGCGGUCUUUUAAGUCUGAUGUGAAAGCCUUCGGCUUAACCGGAGUAGUGCAUUGGAAACUGGAAGACUUGAGUGCAGAAGAGGAGAGUGGAACUCCAUGUGUAGCGGUGAAAUGCGUAGAUAUAUGGAAGAACACCAGUGGCGAAAGCGGCUC